CACGUAGGGGGACGAGCGUUGUCCGGAUUCAUUGGGCGUAAAGCGCGCGUAGGCGGCUCGGAAAGUCGGGCGUGAAAUGCCGGGGCUCAACCCCGGGACUGCGUCCGAUACUUCCGAGCUGGAGGUAGGUAGGGGAGAUCGGAAUUCCUGGUGUAGCGGUGAAAUGCGUCAGAGAUCAGGAGGAACACCCGGUGGCGAAGGCGGGAUCUCUGGCGGUAACCGG
rnacentral:rRNA from 1 species